UACGUAGGGUGCAAGCGUUGUCCGGAAUUAUUGGGCGUAAAGGGCUCGUAGGCGGUCCAUCGCGUCGGGAGUGAAAAGCUGGGGCUCAACCCCAGUCCUGCUUCCGAUACGGGUGGACUAGAGGUAGGCAGGGGAGAACGGAAUUCCUGGUGUAGCGGUGAAAUGCGUAGAUAUCGGGAGGAACACCAGUGGCGAAGGCGGUUGCCUGGGGCUUUGCUGACGCUGAUGCGCGAAAGCGUGGGGAGCGAGCCGG
rnacentral:rRNA from 1 species